UGGGACGACGUUAAGUGCGGAGUACCUGUACUUCUGUUGUUCACUGACAUCUGGUUGUUCUGAAAUACUUUUUUCACUGUUGUCUAAACCCCUAGAGAGCCUUCCACAUGUCCAUGUACAGAGAAAGGAUGACCUGAGUUUCAGAGGAGUAAACUUGGCCUUAGGAGAAUAUUGGGUUACAGAAGUCUUGGAUCUCAACCUUGUGCCUCAGACAUCCUAGGACCUAGAUGGUGGAUGUAACGAGAAGAUUGUCAUUUCCAUUUUUUAUAGGAUUCUUUUUUGAAGUGGCAAGAUGGUAAGGAGUGUCUCUUUUCAGACACUUUCAGAAUAUCAACAGUUUUUAAAUUCUUCCAAGACACUAGGUAUACAUGUCUGACAAGCUGAAGGUUUAUUUCUUAAAAUCCACAAAGAGCUGGUUGAAUGCUGUAAAAUAAUGUCCAUAUCACAAAACAUCUGUUUGAGUCUGAGUCUGGCUACACAUAUACCUCUUACUAUUCACUAAACUAAUGUUUGCACAAGAUUUUUGUAAAUGUUUUGGAAGGGUCUGUUCUCCAUAUGGAUAGACAUAUUUGGGUAUCCAUGCCUAAGCAAGACUAUUUACUAUUCAUCAUGUGUUAUUCAGUAUUUGUUUAGUUAUUAUUUGUCAUUUUAAAAAAAAAUUCCUGUUCACAAAGUCUCAGUUAUCAAGCCAGGUAGCAAAAACAAGACUGUCUGAUAUAAAUGACCCACAGCAUAACACAGACAGUAUUUAUGUAGGAAUCAAUGUGAAUGAUCUGUAGGUUGAAAAUCCAAGGUGUUGGGUAAAUAUAAGCAAAUAGCAGGAAAUCAUUGUUGCUUUUUGCAGAGGAUUCCUGGCAAGAACAAAGAGAUAAAUUAAUCAACCAAUUCAUUAGCAACAAAUAAUUCAACCAGUUUUACUCUAUAGUGAUUCCAUGUAUACCCAAGCUACAGUUUUUUCCUGCUGUAUGUUCAUUUCCUUUGGCUUGAGAAAAAAUAUCUCAUCUCUUCCCCCAGCCUGUGCGUGUUCUUUAAUAUUUCACCUUGGUUGCUGUUAAUACCAAAACCAACAUAAUAUAAUGGCAGCCAAAUGCUCAUUUAAAUCUUCUGGCUGGCAUAGCUUUCCUCACUAAUGGCAGAGGAAGCACCCCCAUGCUGUCAAAGCACAGGCUAAUGUAUAAUGAGGAGGAUCAUGGAGUGUAGUUUAAAACCAGUACGUUUCCCUACUUGUAGGUGCUGUUAACAAGUAGAAACCUGGUAUCUGCUGCAUAACUCCUCUAUAUAUUUAUUUGAAAAAUGUCACUAAAAGUUUCCCUUACAGACAUGCACAAUCAUAGCUCUGUCCUUUUCAUUUCAACAACUGAGUGCCUGGUUAAAUAAA